GCCGGGCUGCUGUAAAAAUGCAAACCAAUGCAUUUUUCCCCUGGAAAGGGGUUGGCAGCAAGCGGUAUCAUGCAAAAUGCAGGGAUACCGCAGAAGUGCCAGCAUAUAGCUGGUAAA
rnacentral:sRNA from 1 species